rnacentral:RNase_P_RNA from 1 species
ACGGAUGGCUGGGUGACCGCGGGUUUUGGGUGCGUAAGCAUACUGGAACGCGAGGAAAGUCCGGACUCCAUUGAACAACAGUGCCGGGUAACGCCCGGCGGGGGUAACCCUAGGGAUAGCGCCACAGAGAACAGACCGCCUUCUAAAUCGGAGGUAAGGGUGAAACGGUGAGGUAAGAGCUCACCGCGCGCGCGGCAACGCAAGCGGCACGGCAAGCCCCACUGGGAGCAAUGCCAAAUAGGGGUUUCGUGUGAGAUUCUGCGUUCGCGCAGAGUGAUCAUAGGGAGGUUCAAGCCCGAGAGACCCGGGUUGGCAGCUUGAGCGUAUUGGUAACACUGCGCCUAGAGGAAUGGUCAUCGAGGGGGCAACCCCAGACAAAAUCCGGCUUAUAGGCCAUCCGUGCAA